UCCAGAAGCACACUAAAUGUUAAAUGUUAAUUUAUUUUAUUAGAAACUUUUAUUUUGUUCGUAAUGAGUCAUAAAUGCUGAUAAGACACGCACACAGUGUCUGCCGGAGUCCCUUUAGAGACAGUAGGUGGUUUCUGAGUGGUGUUGCACUGACCGGUUUUCAGCAGAAUACGUAUGAAGCUUCAAAGGGAGGCCUUUACAUAAACAGGUAUUGUUUUUCAGUGAAAAUUAAUAAACUUUUACUAGUUAACAUUUUCUCAAGCUAUUUAUUCAAACUAAUGUUGUGUCUUUUAGCAUCUUAUCAACAGUUAUCAGCACAGUGAGAAAACCCAGAUCCACUGCAGCCUCUUGGUGGGAAAGUAAACUAUUAUUAAACUACAAUUUGACAGUUAACGUGAAGUUAAAUUGGAAUAGGUUAAAGAUUUGACAUUUUAAACUUUUAAUACAUCUUUUCUCUACGUGUAAUUUCUAGAUUUGAAUUGUAAACUUGUAAAUUGAACAUGUCAUUUUUCCUGCACUGUGUCAUUUGCAUACUGUUAAAUGCAUGGAUGAUUCUUCCAAAGAAACUGAAAAAUAAAAUCCAGGUGAUAUUCAGCAUUAAUGAGUCAGCGAACAUCAGCAUAACCAAACUGCUAACAAAGUUACCGCUACGUGCAAUGCAUUUAUUGAUGUACAAUUUAAUUACUGAGCAUUUUUAAAGCUGCUGUUUUUCAUUUUCUUUCACUAGAAUUUCUUUCUUUUUUUCUUUUAGGUUUAUUAGCAGCAAUUGCAUUUUGAGCGUGAUCAAGUUUAACACCAGACCGUAUAUUAUUUAUUUUUGCUGUUAAUCAGUCUUUGUGGUAAACAGCUUGACUAGUAAAGCGACCAAAUAACUUGACUUUUACAUCGCCACUGUACACACAUUAGUUUAAUAACCUAAUAAAAUGUCUUAUGUUACACAAAACUAAGCUGCGUUUUGUUUUGAAAGAAAGCAGCAAUACAAAUUGCUACAAUAAUGGCAAAAAUGUGUUGUAUCACCUGAGUAAGCACAUUAUCAAGUUGAUAAUUAAAGCAACAACAGGGAGCAAAAGAGAUAG
ensembl:lncRNA